rnacentral:rRNA from 1 species
GACGUAGGGCGCGAGCGUUGUCCGGAUUUAUUGGGCGUAAAGAGCUCGUAGGCGGCUUGUCGCGUCGGCUGUGAAAUCCCGUGGCUCAACUGCGGGUCUGCAGCCGAUACGGGCAGGCUAGAGUUCGGUAGGGGAGACUGGAAUUCCUGGUGUAGCGGUGAAAUGCGCAGAUAUCAGGAGGAACACCGGUGGCGAAGGCGGGUCUCUGGGCCGAUACUGACGCUGAGGCACGAAAGCGUGGGGAGCAAACAGG